CCCCUCUCAAGAUUGCAUCUGGAGAGUUUCCAAUACUCUACUAGUCUCAGCUGUGGGAGAGAGAGUCAAGCAGAGGCAUAUCCAUUUCAUUCCUAGCUUGGGCGGUGGCUACCAAGUGGAAGGCAAUCUGCUACAAGU
rfam:Ornithorhynchus anatinus chromosome 1, whole genome shotgun sequence.